rnacentral:rRNA from 1 species
UGGGGAAUUUUGGACAAUGGGCGAAAGCCUGAUCCAGCAAUGCCGCGUGUGUGAAGAAGGCCUUCGGGUUGUAAAGCACUUUUGUCCGGAAAGAAAUCCUUGGCUCUAAUACAGUCGGGGGAUGACGGUACCGGAAGAAUAAGCACCGGCUAACUACGUGCCAGCAGCCGCGGUAAUACGUAGGGUGCAAGCGUUAAUCGGAAUUACUGGGCGUAAAGCGUGCGUAGGCGGUUUGCUAAGACCGAUGUGAAAUCCCCGGGCUCAACCUGGGAACUGCAUUGGUGACUGGCAGGCUAGAGUAUGGCAGAGGGGGGUAGAAUUCCACGUGUAGCAGUGAAAUGCGUAGAGAUGUGGAGGAAUACCGAUGGCGAAGGCAGCCCCCUGGGCCAAUACUGACGCUCAUGCACGAAAGCGUGGGGAGCAAACAGGAUUAGAUACCCUGGUAGUCCACGCCCUAAACGAUGUCAACUAGUUGUUGGGGAUUCAUUCCUUAGUAACGUAGCUAACGCGUGAAGUUGACCGCCUGGGGAGUACGGUCGCAAGAUUAAAACUCAAAGGAAUUGACGGGGUCAA